rnacentral:lncRNA from 1 species
GCCUUGGCCUUCAGAUAUAACAAAGUCCGUAGAGAGACUGUGAUUUCUCAGGGUCAACUGAAGACCAUUGUCGGCUGACAAGAGACCCUUUAAGCGGUAUAAUGAGACUACGAUAGCGUAAGUUUUCUCACAUCUCUUUUCACUGCUGCUGGUUGGACCCACUCUUCUCUAACCUCG